CCUACGGGUGGCUGCAGUGGGGAAUAUUGGACAAUGGGGGGAACCCUGAUCCAGCCAUGCCGCGUGUGUGAAGAAGGCCCUCGGGUUGUAAAGCACUUUCAGUGAGGAAGAACGCCUGGUGGUUAAUACCCAUCAGGAAAGACAUCACUCACAGAAGAAGCACCGGCUAACUCCGUGCCAGCAGCCGCGGUAAUACGGAGGGUGCGAGCGUUAAUCGGAAUUACUGGGCGUGAAGCGCGCGUAGGUGGCUUGAUAAGCCGGUUGUGAAAGCCCCGGGCUCAACCUGGGAACGGCAUCCGGAACUGUCAAGCUAGAGUGCAGGAGAGGAAGGUAGAAUUCCCGGUGUAGCGGUGAAAUGCGUAGAGAUCGGGAGGAAUACCAGUGGCGAAGGCGGCCUUCUGGACUGACACUGACACUGAGGUGCGAAAGCGUGGGUAGCAAACAGGAUUAGAUACCCCGGUAGUC
rnacentral:rRNA from 1 species